UACGUAGGGUGCGAGCGUUUAAUCGGAAUUACUGGGCGUAAAGCGUGCGCAGGCGGUUCGUUGUGUCGGUGGUGAAAUCCCCGGGCUUAACCUGGGAAUGGCCAUGGAAACUGGCGAACUGGAGUGCGGCAGAGGGGGGUGGAAUUCCGCGGUGUAGCAGUGAAAUGCGUAGAGAUGCGGAGGAACACCGAUGGCGAAGGGCAGCCCCCCUGGGGCUAGCACUGACGCCUCAGGCACGAAAGCGUGGGGAGCAAA
rnacentral:rRNA from 1 species